rnacentral:lncRNA from 1 species
AGCAUUUAAGUUAAAUCUAGGAGGAUUGUACAAGUGGUGGUGAAAUCUCAUUAUGCUUUGUCUGGGUGCUAAGGUGAGCUAUUAUUUUUCUAUUUUAUAUUAUUAAGUUCUACUCACUCCAUGAAAUAAUUAUUCAUUAUAUAUUCAGACUAAAACUUUUUCUGAUCAGCCAUGAUCAAAGAAACAAACAAUUGGCCAUAAUGCAUUCAUGGCAUCCAGGCUGUGCCUAAUCAAUAUGCUACUUGCUUUUUACUUUUCUCCCAGUUAAUGUGUAGCAAGUGUCAUAGCAACAACUAUUGAGAUCAUACAAAAAACCAUUAACUAAGUAAGGCCUGAAUUGACAGGUUUGUCUCUGCACUGUAGGAAUGAAUUCGGAACUGGAUUAGUGUCUGCAGACUGUGGGCGGGAAGGGACAAUGGACUUUGAACGGGAACUCUAUGAAAUAUUAACUCUGUGGUGUCCCUCCAUCCCUUCUUGGCUGGUCCCCCACCCUCUGCAGCACAGCUGGGCGCUGCUGAGGCAGAGACCCCGAAAGCCCUGGGGGCUCUGAGGGCAGCUGGGCUCCCUCAAACCUCAGCAAAGCCCAGGGAAGGCGCCCGGAGGGCCUGGGGAGCAGCGUGCUUUCCCCACUCGGUCCCCCCUGGCAGAACCGGACUCUCGGGGGCCUCAGCAGUGCCCAGCCCAGUAGGAAACUUAUGGGAAAAAUUGAAUGCAGAGAUCGAGUUUUGGGACUGGUUCUUCAUUCAAACAAGGAAAUUUGAAUGGACCCUCAGAACCACCUCUGUUGUUAAUCCAGCUGUGUUUCUGUUGGCCUCCAAAGUACUCCAGAACAUGAUUGCCUACAAACAACCAAAGAAGUUGAUUCCAGACAACAAGAUUUGAAGGACAGCCCGACAGAGAGCCCAGACUGGGAGCUGUACAUGGACAGAAGGAGCUUUGUUCACAAGAGUAUGUGGUGACUAGGCUGAACAAAGGAGUUAAUUCAAAGGCUCUAACAUCAGGUGUUUCAGCACAGAAGACCAAACUGGUUGCUCUCAUCCAGGCAUUGGAACUGAGAAAGAAAGAAAAUGAUCAUCUGGACGGAUUCUAAGUGUGCUUUUUGUGUAGUGCCUGCCCGUGGGGCAAUCUGGAGAGAGGGGUUUGUUAUCAGCACAGGGUGCAUCAAUCGAACACGGGACACAAAUAUUACACCUGCUGAAAGCAGUACAAAAACCACCUGAAGCUGCAAUUCUGCACUGUAGAACACACCAGACAAGUAAAAUAGGGCCAAAAUAGGGAAAUUACUUGGCUGACAGGACAGCUAAAGAGGCUGCAGAAAAAGGCAUCCGCAACAAGAGAUCAGUGUACCAUCUAUUAAGCUAGAAUAUGAUGCAAAAGAUUUUCAGUUAAGGGAUAUAUUAUAAGCUAGACUUCACCCUGGUGGAUGGGCAGUCACACCUUCUGGACGAGUUAAAUUUCCCAAAAAAUGAUGAUAGAAAUGGUAGAGAGCACCAAUCUAUACACUGGAGUGCAGAAAAAUACUUAAGACACUUAAGAAAGACAGUAAUUGGCUCCAAGAUGACCAGAAAGACCCCUUAAGUUUCACCAAGGGAUUGGGCAUAAAAUUCUUAGAAGACUUAAAGAUCAAAGCAGCCAAAAUACUCAGUGUAACUAAUUGUUGGAAAUGUUCUCAACUAAUGUUUGGAAGAAUGGGGUUCCCUUGGAGGGCCCACCCUGUGGGGUCCCACAGCUCUGUCCCUGGGCUCUGCCUCAUACCAGAGUCAGUGCAGGGGCACUUACAGAAAACUGCUGUGGAACACAGGGAUACAAUGAUCAGUUUGACAGGAUUCACUAGGCUUUCCCUUCAGGAGAAACCAAACCCUGUUCUAGUUCCAGAGGCCAC